rnacentral:rRNA from 1 species
AUUGAACGCUGGCGGCAGGCCUAACACAUGCAAGUCGAGCGGAUGAAGGGAGCUUGCUCCUGGAUUCAGCGGCGGACGGGUGAGUAAUGCCUAGGAAUCUGCCUGGUAGUGGGGGAUAACGUCCGGAAACGGGCGCUAAUACCGCAUACGUCCUGAGGGAGAAAGUGGGGGAUCUUCGGACCUCACGCUAUCAGAAGAGCCUAGGUCGGAUUAGCUAGUUGGUGGGGUAAAGGCCUACCAAGGCGACGAUCCGUAACUGGUCUGAGAGGAUGAUCAGUCACACUGGAAAAAAGAAAGGGACAAGACCCAGACGGGGGGAGGAAGGGGGAAAUUUGGGAAAGGGGGCAAAAGCCUAACCCAGCAAGGCGGGGGUGAAAGAGGGUCUGGGGAUUGAAAAGCCUUUUAAGUGGGGAGAAAGGGAAGAAAUUUAAUACCUUGUUUUUUUAAGGUUACCAAAAAAAAAGGCCCCGCCAAACUUGGUC